GCUGGUAUCUCGCGGAGCAGCUCCUGUGCCCUUCUGUGCUCGCCGGUCGUGCGUCCGGCUCCCCGUCUUCCCCUCCCUGUCACAGCGCCGCGCCGCACUCCUUUCCUUCAUUCCCAUACCACUCUGAACUUGUGCGCGUCGUGUGAGGUGUUCUCCCAGGGGCGCUCCGUGAGGGCCGGGGACCACCUGGGGCCGGGUUGCUCACGAGCCGGGCACAGUGCACUCUCCCUUUAGUUGUGUUUGGGGGACGAGUAUCGCGGGGGAGGGGAGGGAGUCACCAUGCCCGCCGGAAACCCCCCGCUGAGUCGUCCGCCCUGCACCUGCCUCGGAGCCCAUGGUUCGGACGUUUGCCCGAGCCGUUUCCCGGGGCCUUCCCUCCAGCUCCGAGCGUCUGGCCGUGUCCGCGGCGAUAGCAUCGCCCCGUUACGGCCUCUGCGGGAGGGGGAACUGAGGGGACGACGCGGGCUCUGGAAACAUUUCGGACCCGUUUCGGGCAGGCAUGAGUCUUCCGAGCGCCUUGUGAUUCCUCGGGGGGCUCAACGUCGAAAGAAAGGCGAGGGAGACUCUGGGGCCUGGGCCACGCUGUGCGGGAGUAAGAGGAGCCGAGGACGAGGCUGACGGCCGUGAAACUAGCCGAGUGCCACAAAGGACCUUCCCCUCACCGCCUCUGGCGCUCCUUUCCUUGCAGCCUGGAGGGCCGGCUCUGGCUCUGCGCAGGCGCGCGGGCGCAGCCCCUCUCCCAACUCUUGUUUGCUCUUUCUGGCCAGCGACCCCAGUGUGGGGCACGCGGGAGAGCCCCACAUUUCUUCUAGUCGCAGUCCCGCCGGCGUGGGGUGGCCCCUGACCGUGCAACGGGCGCAAGGCUCGCACCCACUACGGCCCCUCGGGCGGCGGAGCGAGGCUCCGCGAACCCGGGACUGGGCGCGCCAGGCCCGCGCGCUGAGGCCCCCUCCCCCGGCUCUGGCCACGCGGGCUGCUCUGCCUCUGUGAGUGUGCGGGACACAGAGCCAGGGGGAGGGAGGGCCGUGUUCUGCGGUCACAGGCAGACAGGAGUGCCGGAAGAUGCAGUCUGGAGCCCCCGGGGGACUACGGUUCCGGCCCAGCAGCAGCCGCCAUCCCCACGUUGGGUGGCGAGAUCCGAAAGUUUCCAGCUACGAACAGUUUGCUUUUUUUUUUUCCUUGAUCGCUUUUUUUGGCAAGGGCGGAGAGCACCAGUAGCGUGGGGGGUUUAAAUGCACUUUCCCUGAAUGCAACAGAGAAAUGCCGGGCUGGAGGGCAAACUCCACCGGGACAGGGAGGCGGGAGAUAGCCUGAGCGCCCCCCCAUCCCCCACACUCUGAGCGUCGCAACCCCGGGGGCACCUCCAGGGACUACUUGCCUUGUGCGUCAGCGAGUGACAGCGUCACACACACGCCCCCUCCCGCACAUGCCCGCUGCACCCUCCCUUUCCCCCUCCCCUUCCCUUCUCUCUUUUCCCCUAGCUCUUCCCACCAGGCAGAGAGGCUCAGCCGACCCACACGCUCCCAGAGCACUGAAAGCUAAAAAUAUAGCCGGUGUGUUAGCAACAGCCUUCCCAUUGGUCGGGGGAAAGGGAGAAGCGGUGUCUGAUUGGGUUUAGGAUCCAGCCGCUAAGACUGGGCCCUUGGGAGUGUGCGUUUGCGCCAGCGGGCACGGCAAGGGAUGCUGGUAUUUGUAGUCAUUGAUUAAGGCAGCCAUGUAAAUAGGUGGGUUUACAUCCCAGUUCGGCUACCGACUGUGUGAUCUUGAUUUAAUGCAGCAAAACGCUUGACAUCACCAAACCUCAGUUUCCCCAUCUAUAAAAUGGAGCUCGUGUCGGGGAUUAAAUAUGAUGCUGUAUGUAAA